rnacentral:rRNA from 1 species
GACGAACGCUGGCGGCGCGCUUAACACAUGCAAGUCGAGCGGUAAGGCCCUUUCGGGGGUACACGAGCGGCGAACGGGUGAGUAACACGUGGGUGACCUGCCCUCAGCUCUGGGAUAAGCCUGGGAAACUGGGUCUAAUACUGGAUAUGACUCCACGGUGCAUGUCGUGGGGUGGAAAGCCUUGUGCGGCUGAGGAUGGGCCCGCGGCCUAUCAGCUUGUUGGUGGGGUGANGGCCUACCAAGGCGACGACGGGUAGCCGGCCUGAGAGGGCGACCGGCCACACUGGGACUGAGACACGGCCCAGACUCCUACGGGAAGCAGCAGUGGGGAAUCUUGCGCAAUGGGCGAAAGCCUGACGCAGCGACGCCGCGUGAGGGAUGACGGCCUCGG